UUCAAAGCAGUUUUUCAGUACUUCUUCUUAGUUUACUGUUUGGCCAGAGGACAAAUGUAUUCCCUUAGAAGAACAAAGUACCUCUCUCAUCUCUGUUCACCUGUUCCCCACACCACUGCUCAUCAAAUACCACAAUGCGUUUGGAUGUUUGGAUACAUCUCCAUCCAGUUUGGCCUUUUUCACCGUGGAGAUUAAUGCUUCAUGAAAUAUUUUGAGCCUUGACUUAUUUGUUUAUGCCUUACUACUGUACGCCUACCCUUCCUUUAGACUUUUAGAAGACAGUAUAUGACAAGGAUUUAGAUUUAUCUGCUGAUUAUGUGGAUUGUGGCUCAACAUCAGCAUGCUGGGAGCAGUGGUGGGAAACGAUGAGCUGAAAUCCACUCUCCUCCCAUCUUACUACUGUCCUACAGCAGCUGGGAAUGACCCAGUAGGUGACACCACUUUCAUCCCAGGACCCCGACUGUCCAGCUGUUUGCUAUCCCUCAUCCUGACGGCUAGACAGACAGGGGCACAGCCCAGCAUCAGAGAAUCGGAGGCAUGAUCCUGUCUGCAUGUCAUUGUGGCUGUCUCAUCGCUUUGCAGGACCCCACAGCUGGCACCUAGACGCUAAGGACCAUGUCAUUUCUCAGCAAGAGGGGUCCUGUAAACAAGAAGGGUGUAAACACAGGCUCCGGGUGCAGUUUUAAAGAGUUUGGGGAGCCUUCCCAGUGAGAAAGUAUUCCUGCUGAGGUUACUGUGAUCUUCAGGGGGCUUAGGGACAGAUCCAGGAGGAUUACCCCCAGCAAAGGCGACCGACCUACACCCAAAAAUGAUCAACAUAGCUGCCACAACCUUUUCCCUCUCCCCUCUCUUUGUAUCCAAUGCCUUGAAAUGUGAGACUAACCCUGGAAAGUGGCCUGGUGAGCAUAACCCACAUUCUUUCACAAGACCCCUGCUACCUCCCUCACUCACAAAACUGUACUACUUUGCCAGUCUUUUUUUAAUUUCCUAAUGGCACAGAUGUCACUUGGUUGAGAGAAAUCACAAGGAGUAAUCAUCAUCUGCUUGAGACACAUAACAGCCAUAUUUAAUAAGUUACAGUAUAGUUUCUUAUUUCUAAAAUGUUUCUAUAGGGAAGAGGCAUAAAGAUUUAUAAUCAACACCAAAUGGGAGAAUUGUCAAACAUCUACAAGUUUCAACAGAAAGAGAAUCUGCUCAAGUGUCACUUAAUGGUUUAAUGCUGUAGCAGUUACACAUUAUCAUUAUGCUACAAUAUUGUUCUCAUUUUAUGUCUAUACUUAACUGUUGAAGCUGAAACGCUGUACUGCAUAAAACUCGCCACAAUAUGAUCUGACUGUACAGUAGCUUAUACACAGUAAUUUAUAGCAGCAGAUCUUCUAGUCCUGAAUUGCUACUCUGAACUUUUGAAAUUCAAUGUUCUGACUGUAUCUGUGACAGAACCACUGAGUCACUGAGUGCACCAUAAACAACAGUUUUGUGUCCAAGUCUUGGCACUCUUCCAUAAUGUCAACCCCGCUAGUCCUGUCCGUGGUAUUUUCACCAUACAGAGGAAAUUACUGUCCCACAUCAUCAGCUGUUGAGGCUGAAAUAAUCCAUGAGCAAGUCAAACAUUCAAGAACAGACACCCUGAUUUUCAGGAUUAUUAAUGCAUAGACUUCUUUGCAUCCGAUUUUUGUGUGAACGGAAUUGAGUUUAUAAUCUUGUUUGGAUCUGAAAUCACUGAC